rnacentral:rRNA from 1 species
GACGAACGCUGGCGGCGUGCUUAACACAUGCAAGUCGAGCGGAAAGGCCCUUCGGGGUACUCGAGCGGCGAACGGGUGAGUAACACGUGCGUAACCUUCCCCAGACUUUGGGAUAACCCUCGGUUACGGGGGCUAAUACCGAAUACGACACAGCUUCGCAUGGGGUCUGUGUGGAAAGUUUUUCGGUUUGGGAUGGGCUCGCGGCCUAUCAGCUUGUUGGUGGGGUGAUGGCCUACCAAGGCGACGACGGGUAGCCGGCCUGAGAGGGCGACCGGCCACACUGGGACUGAGACACGGCCCAGACUCCUACGGGAGGCAGCAGUGGGGAAUAUUGCACAAUGGGCGGAAGCCUGAUGCAGCGACGCCGCGUGAGGGAUGACGGCCUUCGGGUUGUAAACCUCUUUCAGCAGGGACGAAGCGUAAGUGACGGUACCUGCAGAAGAAGCGCCGGCCAACUACGUG